rnacentral:misc_RNA from 1 species
UUUCCUUCUCUUGGAGCAAUGGCACUUGCCGCUGGCAGAUCCCGAGAACUUUCCAGACAUAUCAUCGGAUUGAUCGUGCUCGUGGCACCGCUUCUUGUUGUACGGCCCAGAUGAAAGCGGGGGCUUGCCGCCGGAGACUGCAGGUGCCAAGAAAAUCGAUGAUCCUUGCUUCCCAUUUGAAACGCUACCGUCUCCAGUUAUAGCCGAGGACAUGAAAGAUGAACUAGAUGACACGCUAAAACUUUCUUUUGUGAACUCAAGCUCUGAGUUUCUACCAUUAGAGCUAAAUAUGCUAGGUUUU